UAGAGAGAGCAGAAGAAGAAGAGCAAGUUGCUGCGAGAAUAAAAGUUUGAGCACGGCGAUGCCCGCCAAGCAGGACACCGCUCACUUACCGGCAGGCCUACUCGCCAUUUUAACCCGAGACAGAAGCGUUGCCUGCUGGGUGAAGUUCUACCUCAAGCCAUUAUAGUGGAAGCGCUAUAUGCAGUACUAAAAAGUGGUGAAUGGCUGCUCCCAGAACUACACUAGCCAAAGUGAAGUUGGAAGAUAUGAAGACAUGCAGUACAUUUGUAAGUUGGCACAUCACCUUACAAGAAGUACUCAGUAGGGACUUCCCUGGUGGCACAGUGGUGAAGAAUCCGCCUGCCAGUGCAGGGGACAUGGGUUCGAGCCCUGGUCCGGGGACAUCCCACAUGCCGCAGAGCAGCUAAGCCCGUGCACCACAACUACUGAGCCUGCACUCUAAAGCCUGUGAGCCACAACUUCUGAGCUCGAGUGCCACAACUACUGAAGCUCACACGUCUAGAGCCCGUGCUCUACAACAAGCCACCACAAUGAGAAGCCUGUGCAGUGCAACAAAGAGUAGCCCCCGCUCGCCGCAACUAGAGAAAGCCCGCACGGAGCAACGAAGACCCAACGCAGCCAAAAUAAAUUUUAAAGAAAUUAUUAAAUUAAAUAAAAAAGAAGUACUCGGUAAACUCUUCUCCCUCCCUCCUUACCCUUCAAGUUU